CAAAUUUUCUCUCCCUUGCGUUUCGAUCUCCUUUUCUCGUGUGCGUUUCUUUCUCCGUCCCUCUAUCUCUCUUUGCAUGUUGAUUGCUGCAGUCUGAAGGGGUCUCCAUUACUACCAGCGACUGCGAGGAACUUAAUCUGUAUGGAUUUAUUGGGUUUUUUAUUUUUUUGUGUUCUGUUGUUGAAAAAUAAUAUUAGAAUUGAAAACUAGAUCUGUAUGAAUUUGUUUGUUGCUUGGGUUUCUGUUUCUCUUCCUUUCUUGUGGUAUGGAUUAUAUUUUGAAUUUUUAUUGUAAUGAAUGUCUUUGUCUAUUUAAAAUCCUGAAGAGGUUAACCUAUUGAUUUGAUUUAUUCACCUUUCUACGAAGAACAAAAUUGGUUUGAAGAAGUGAAACAGAAGAACGAGUAAAACUGAUGAGCCAAUAGAUGCUCACCCCUGGGGAAUUGUCUUAGCUCAACCUAUGCGUACAUCCUUGCUUAUGUGUGACUAGGGCUUUUUCCCUUCAAAGUGAGAUGACAUUCUUUUAUUCCCAGCAUGUCUAUGUUUCUUUCUUUUUUUUUUUGGUGUGUUUUCUUCCCUUUAUUUUUUUUUUCUUAUUUAUGUAGAGAAAAUUUUUUGCACUGAUGAAUAGGCUUAGGCAAAUGAAUUGCAUUCAAUCUGGUUUGGCUGACGCGAAGUCCAUUUCCUACCCAUAAUUUGUUUUGUGAUAUACUUUUAGGAGUUCAUUUUUCAACUUAAAAAAUACAAGUAUCAAUGCAACUUGAAGUAUGUAGUCUUGUCAGAUAUUAAAGCGUAGGAUCAAACAUUGGAUACUUUCACAUUUUUGCUUCAUUAUUUCUUAGUGGCACUUACAGGUGUCAAAUCAUUUGAAGCGGCAAUUGUUAUAAAUGAAUGAAUGAUUAGGCAUUUGCAAUGCAUCUAUGAUUCUGAAAAUGGCAGCACUUACCAUGGAAAGAUGGAAAGCAUUUUAUUGUUAGUAAAAUCAGUCAAUAAUUAAGUCAUUUGAUAUAUUUGCUUGCAGGAGAGUCUGAUAACUUCAUAGUCUAUGGAACAAAUGAAUAGCAAUAAAGAUGCUGAAAAUCUUGCAGAAGCGUCAUCCAAAUCACUAUUGUCUGGAAAAAACAAUGUGGAAGCUGAGAAUGCUGGGGAAAUGCCAGAUAAAGCAGAAUCAUCCCAUAAAAGAACCCCCAAGUCACUGAAGGCAAAAUCUAAUAUAAAAAAGAAGUCUUUGGCUAGCAGCUCUUUUAAGGCCACUAAAGCUUUAGGUGAUCGGCGAAGAAACAGGAGGAGGAAGAAUAAGAGUGUAGUACAAGAGAACAAGGAAAGUAACAAAAAUGGGAACAAGAAUGAUCAGAAUCAAAAUUCAAGGGUAGGGAAAUUACAAAAGAAUGGUGCCAAUGAAGAGCACACUGGGAGGGGAAUAGAGACUCAAAAGAGCCAAGCAAGGAUUGCUGGUUCAAGUAGGAGCCAACAUAGCCAAAGGAAUGAUGAGAAGCAAGGUGGUCCUGAUAAGAGCUCAAGGAGUCAAAAGGACAAAGGAAAGCUUGAUGAGGAAAAGAAUCAAGGAGAUGAAAGAAAGAAAGAGAAGCUUGGUGGUUUAAUCUUCAUGUGUAAUGCAAAGACCAAACCAGAUUGUUUUCAUUAUCGAGUCAUGGGUGUGACAGCAAGUAAAAAAGAUGUUGUGCUGGGUGUGAAACCUGGACUUAAGCUUUUCCUGUAUGAUUUUGAUCUCAAACUUAUGUAUGGAAUCUACAAAGCAUCAUCUUCUGGCGGGAUGAAAUUGGAGCCAAAGGCUUUUGGCGGGUCCUUCCCAGUUCAGGUUAUGCUUUAUUUUAUCCUGCCUACUUUUCUAGAUAAUAAUUUUUGUUUUCUUCAUCAAUUUAGUCAGAUUGCGCACUGAUAUUUUUGAAGUUCAGGUACGGUUUGGUAUUCACAAAGAUUGUUUUCCACUCCCUGAGAGUGUUUUCAAGAAGGCCAUAAAGGACAAUUAUGAUGAAAAGAACAAGUUCAAAAUAGAACUUACUGUUCAACAGGUUAGGAAGCUCAGUGCACUUUUCCGACCUGCUGUAUACCAGUCAGUGCCAUCAGCUGCAGUGCCUUUCCAUUCCCCUUCAAUGGCAACUAUUCGGGAUAGGGAAGCCUAUGAGGGUGUAAGAGAGUCACGGCCCCAUUCAGACAGGGAAACAUUUACCAGAGUCAACGGUGAUGGUAGAAGUUAUCCUGUUGUCUCUCGUGAAAGGGAUCAGCAUAUUGAGCUCAGGGAGUUGGUAUCAUCGUAUAGAGAGGAAGCUCCACGUGAUUUAUACAUGAGUGAAAAGGAGUAUCGUACAUAUGGUCUUCAGAGAGAGAGAAGAAACAUGACCUCUCCACAUGGUGCGGCUGGUACUCUAGACCCUUACAAGAGGGAUCUGGAAGGAGAGCACCUUCUCAGACAGCCAGCCCCUCUAUACAACAGUGAUACUAUUCCUUUGCAUAGAGAAUCAUUUCUUGCUGAUCCCCAUUACUUGAGCCAGAGAGAGUUACAGACUUACAAUCUUGGUGGUAGAAGUGAAUUGCCACCUGUGGCAGCAUCUAGUUCUGCUGUUCCUGCGUUGGACUCCUAUUCAAGGGAUCCAUCUUAUUCUUACCGAUAUGGUGCUCCAUCUGUAAAUGCAUAUCUGCUGCCUCCAAGGAGGGAGGAAAUUUCAUCAGGUGCCUAUAAUGUUAAUGGUAGGAGGGAGACUUACUUAGCUGAUGCUGAUCAUUUGCGUAGGAGAGAUACUGAUGAAGUGGAUAAUUUGUACUUGAAGUAUGCUGUUGAUCCGCCAUCAGAUUAUAACCAGGCACGCCAAGCAGUCCAACCAGAAAAUUUGUCAAGGCCUGUUUCAUCUCGUUACGCCUUUGCUGGUUCAUCUCUGUCAUAUCGCUAAGUUCAUGUGACAAAAAAUUCAGUUAUGAACUGUUAAUUUCUUUCGAAUGCUUGCAUUAUCUAUAAACUAUGCUCUUUAAUUCUCUAUUAUACCAUAUUCUUUGCAUUAGAUCAAUAAUUAUCAGUCGAUCAUAUUCAUAUCACUUUUGGGAAGUGUGGCAAGGUUUUCCAAGAAAAUCAGAAUUAAGGAUGUAAACGAGAGCAAGGCUAAGGUAAGUUUGAGCUCAGCCCAAGUAUGUUUUGAACCAUUGGGUAUGAACUCAACUAGGAGCUUGUGAGAGUUCCGGCCUGUCUACUUUUAAAUUAACCCUAGGUCGAUAUCAAUGGAA
rnacentral:misc_RNA from 1 species